GAUAAACGCUGGCGGCGUGCCUAACACAUGCAAGUCGAACGUCCUCUCUCGCAAGAGAGAGGGAGUGGCGGACGGGUGAGUAACACAUGGGUCACCUACCCUUAAGUGAGGAAUACCGGCGAGAAAUCGCCGACAAGACCGCAUAGGCUCUCUCUUUUGCAAGAGAGAGCAAAGCUUCGCAAGAGGCGCUUGAGGAUGGGCCUGUGGCCGAUUAGCUGGUUGGAGGGUAAUGGCUUACCAAGGCGACGAUCGGUAGCUGGUCUGAGAGGACGAUCAGCCACACUGGGAUUGAGAACGGCCCAGACUCCUACGGGGGCAGCAGUGAGGAAUUUUCCGCAAUGGGGGCAACCCUGACGGAGCAACGCCGCGUGCAGGAAGACGCUUUUCGGAGUGUAAACUGCUUUUCU
rnacentral:rRNA from 1 species